GACGAACGCUGGCGGCGUGCUUAACACAUGCAAGUCGAACGGAAAGGCCCUGCUUUUGUGGGGUGCUCGAGUGGCGAACGGGUGAGUAACCCGUGAGUAACCUGCCCUUGACUUUGGGAUAACUUCAGGAAACUGGGGCUAAUACCGGCUAGGAGCUCCUGCUGCAUGGUGGGGGUUGGAAAGUUUCGGCGGUUGGGGAUGGACUCGCGGCUUAUCAGCUUGUUGGUGGGGUAGUGGCUUACCAAGGCUUCGACGGGUAGCCGGCAUGAGAGGGUGACCGGCCACAUUGGGACUGAGAUACGGCCCAGACUCCUACGGGAGGCAGCAGUGGGGAAUAUUGCACAAUGGGCGGAAGCCUGAUGCAGCAACGCCGCGUGCGGGAUGACGGCCUUCGGGUUGUAAACCGCUUUCGCCUGUGACGAAGCGUGAGUGACGGUAAUGGGUAAAGAAGCACCGGCUAACUACGUG
rnacentral:rRNA from 1 species